rnacentral:rRNA from 1 species
UACGGAGGGAGCAAGCGUUACUCGGAAUUACUGGGCGUAAAGGGCUCGUAGGCGGCCAACUAAGUCAGACGUGAAAUCCCUCGGCUUAACCGGGGAACUGCGUCUGAUACUGGAUGGCUAGAGGUUGGGAGAGGGAUGCGGAAUUCCAGGUGUAGCGGUGAAAUGCGUAGAUAUCUGGAGGAACACCGGUGGCGAAGGCGGCAUCCUGGGACCGGUAUUGACGCUGAUGCGCGAAAGCCCAGGGGAGCAAACGGGG